rnacentral:rRNA from 1 species
CCCUUAGAUGUUCUGGGCCGCACGCGCGCUACACUGAUGCAUUCAACGAGUUUCUUCCUGGUCCGAGAGGAAUGGGUAACCUUUUGAAAGUGCAUCGUGAUAGGGAUAGACUAUUGCAAUUAUUGGUCUUCAACGAGGAAUUCCUAGUAGACGUAGUUCAUCAGACUGCAUCGAUUACGUCCCUGCCCUUUGUACACACCUCCCGUCGCUCCUACCGAUUGAAUGCUCAGGUGAGCCAUUCGGACUUUCAUCAUGCUGGUUUCCAGUUUUGAUGAAGGAAAGUCUUGCGAACCUUAUCAUUUAGAGGAAGGAGAAGUCGUAACA